rnacentral:rRNA from 1 species
AACGAACGCUGGCGGCAUGCCUAACACAUGCAAGUCGAACGAGACCUUCGGGUCUAGUGGCGCACGGGUGCGUAACGCGUGGGAACCUGCCCUUAGGUUCGGAAUAACUCCCCGAAAGGGGUGCUAAUACCGGAUAAUGUCUUCGGACCAAAGAUUUAUCGCCUUUGGAUGGGCCCGCGUUGGAUUAGCUAGUUGGUAGGGUAAAAGCCAACCAAGGCGACGAUCCAUAGCUGGUCUGAGAGGAUGAUCAGCCACACUGGGACUGAGACACGGCCCAGACUCCUACGGGAGGCAGCAGUGGGGAAUAUUGGAAAAUGGGCGAAAGGCUGAUCCAGCAAUGCCGCGUGAGUGAAGAAGGCCUUAGGGUUGUAAAGCUCUUUUAACCGGGAUGAAAAUGACAGUAACGGGAGAAUAAGCUCCGGCUAACUCCGUG